rnacentral:lncRNA from 1 species
GCUGGGACCACAGGUGCACACCGCCAUGCAAUCCUUCCACCUCAACCUCCCAAAGUACUGGGAUUCUGGACAUGAGCCAUUGUGCACGGCCAGAUCUUUUUUUCUUGAGACGGAGUCUCCCUUUGUCGCCCAGGAUGGAGUGCAGUGUUGCGAUCUCAGCUCACUGCAAGCUCCUCCUCCCAGGUUCACGCCAUUCUCCUGCCUCAGCCUCCUGAGUAGCUGGGACCACAGGCGCCUGCCACCACACCAGGCUAAUUUUUUGUAUUUUUAGUAGAGACGGGGUUUCACCGUGUUAGUCAGGAUGGUCUUGAUCUCCUGACCUCGUGACGCGCCUGCCUCGGCCUCCCAAAGUGCUGGAGUUACAGGCGUGAGCCACUGCGCCCGGCCGCCAAUAAGCAGGGCAAUUAGAGUCCCUUGUCUCCAGCCCUAUGCA